GAUGAACGCUGGCGGCGUGCCUAAUACAUGCAAGUCGAGCGAACAGACGAGGAGCUUGCUCCUUUGACGUUAGCGGCGGACGGGUGAGUAACACGUAGGUAACCUACCUAUAAGACUGGGAUAACUUCGGGAAACCGGAGCUAAUACCGGACAAUAUUUCGAACCGCAUGGUUCGAUAGUGAAAGAUGGCUUUGCUAUCACUUAUAGAUGGACCUGCGCCGUAUUAGCUAGUUGGUAAGGUAACGGCUUACCAAGGCAACGAUGCGUAGCCGACCUGAGAGGGUGAUCGGCCACACUGGAACUGAGACACGGUCCAGACUCCUACGGGAGGCAGCAGUAGGGAAUCUUCCGCAAUGGGCGAAAGCCUGACGGAGCAACGCCGCGUGGGUGAUGAAGGUCUUCGGAUCGUAAAACUCUGUUAUUAGGGAAGAACAAACGUGUAAGUAACUGUGCACGUCUUGACGGUACCUAAUCAGAAAGCCACGGCUAACUACGUG
rnacentral:rRNA from 1 species